rnacentral:tRNA from 1 species
GUUUCCGUAGUGUAGUGGUUAUCACGUGUGCUUCACACGCACAAGGUCCUGGGUUCGAGCCCCAGNNGAAACA